rfam:Ricinus communis ctg_1100012355480, whole genome shotgun sequence.
CAGUGCACGUGAUAUUGGCACGGCUCAAUCAAAAAGCAGGGCCCAUAACAUUUUGAGCACUGUUUUCUUAUUGAACCGGACCAAUAUCCCGUUUGAUUCA